UUAACUUCCUCAAUGCAAUGUAAUCCUUACAAUCUAAUAAUAACCAAGUGGAAACAAAGCAAUGGGAUCGUUUAUAUAGAGAACAUAGACAGAUAGAUGAGGUAAGGUGGAGAGCAGGGGGAGAGAGAUGCCGAGUGCUUCUUCAUCAUCGUCAUUGACAUUGCUCCAGUCACAGAUCAGUGGCCUCGGUGGGGACCUCAAGCUUCUGAAGCCAUCUCUUCCUCAACCCGGAUCGCUCACCUUCACAAAAAAGGAAAGUUCAGACAGUUACGAAGGCAACUUCACGAGUGACGAGUUGAUAAGUUCUCAAAAAGUGAUAUCAUCGUUUCUCCAUCGAUCCUCUGCUAACUUUGCCAAGCUAGGAGAGCAGGUAAAGGCUGUGGAGGUAGAAGACUGUGAUUGGAUCCAUGUAGAUGUGAUGGAUGGUCGUUUCGUACCAAACAUCACCAUUGGGCCACUUGUUGUCGAUGCACUCUGUCAUGUUACUGAUCUCCUCUAGAUGUGCAUUUGAUGAUUGUUGAACCUGAACAGCGUGUUCCCGAUUUCAUUAAGGCUGGUGCUGACAUAGUCAGCGUUCAUUGCGAAAAAUCAGCUACCUUUGCAAGAUCGCAAACGAUCUGGAUCAAUUUGACAAUGAUGGUCGACCUGGUCCUAAUAAUGUCUGCCAGUCCCUGGUUCAGUGGACAGAGUUUUAUCGAAGUCAAGUGACGAAAAUCUCCGACUUGAGACGAAUGUGCCUAGAAAAGGAACUUCUGUCGACUCCUUAAUACUUCUUUAAACUUACCUUAUAUCGCAUUGACUUGCACAUGGGUAAACUUUGCUGUAUAUCUUCUUCUAGGGAGUCUGGAGUUGGUCAACAAAUGCUUACAAGGGGCUUCUCCGAUCCUCAGUCUCUCUCCAUUUCGUUGAAGAAUUUAUCCGUCUUACGAUUUGUGUGGAAUGUUAGGUUAUUGAAGCAGGAGCCAAUGCUCUUGUGGCCAGUCCUGCAGUCUUCGGAGCUAAGGAUCAUGCUGAAGUAAGAGGAAUCAAAACAAGCAAGAGCCCAGUAGCUCAGUUUACAUUCUUAGAUAUUCUUGAAGGAUGAUCUACCUCAGUUUGUCGUCAUUUGCUUAAGUUGCUUCGCGCAUUGGAUUGCAGCUUUCCUUCACAGGAUCGACUGAGACUGGUACAAGCUCGAAUACUGGUUCAACAUAAGUUACACAUCUAUGAUGAAAGCAAACAUCGAAAGGUUCAAAAUCUUUCUGGGAUUUCUGUAUGGGGCCAACGUUGCUGUGCUGGAUCUCGAUUUUUGUGCAUGAGCGAGUUGACAACGAGUUUGUGGAGAAAGCAAAGGCCUGUGCAAUGAAUCGGGUGGUUGGUGAUCCCUUCACGAAGGGUGUCAAACAAGGUCCUCAGAUUCAUAGAGAGCAGUUUGAGAAAGUUCUUUGGUACAUAAGAUAUGGAAAAUAAAGCAGUGCAACUCUCGAAUGUCGAGGGGAAAGAAUCGGCUCCAAAGGGUUCUUCGUUCUGCCUGCGGUUUUCUCAAACGUUCAGGAUGAUUUGCCGAUAGCCCAGGGCAAGAUCUUUGGGCCAGUACAAUCUAUCUUGAAAGUCAAGCGAAUGCCACAAGGUAUGGCUUAGCAGCAGAGGUCUUCACGAAGAGCGUGGACACUGCGAACAUGCUGACAAAAGCCCUAAGGGUCGUGACAGUUUCGGUCUGCCGCUACGAUGUGUUCAAUGCUGUGAUCCCAGAAUUGGGUGGGAGAAGGGGAUCGAUAGCCUCAAAGUAUACUUGCAGGUGAAGGCCAUCGUCCCGCCUUCAAGCAAAUCCGCUUGAUUAUGAAAGUGAAGAUCUACAUAUCUACACAAACAGAGACAGAUAGAUAUCCGUCCAUUUGAUUGUUCAUCAAAAUAAGGGACAUAUGAAGAGGUUGCUGUGUAAUUCGAUGGAAUGAUAUGAUUUCUA